GGUUAAGCGACUAAGCGUACACGGUGGAUGCCCUGGCAGUCAGAGGCGAUGAAGGACGUGCUAAUCUGCGAAAAGCGUCGGUAAGGUGAUAUGAACCGUUACAGCCGGCGAUGUCCGAAUGGGGAAACCCAGUGUGAUUCGUCACACUAUCGUUAACUGAAUACAUAGGUUAACGAGGCGAACCGGGGGAACUGAAACAUCUAAGUACCCCGAGGAAAAGAAAUCAACCGAGAUUCCCCCAGUAGCGGCGAGCGAACGGGGAGCAGCCCAGAGUCUGAAUCAGCUUGUGUGUUAGUGGAACGGUCUGGAAAGUCCGACGGUACAGGGUGAUAGUCCCGUACACCAAAAUGCACAGGCUGUGAACUCGAAGAGUAGGGCGGGACACGUGGUAUCCUGUCUGAAUAUGGGGGGACCAUCCUCCAAGGCUAAAUACUCCUGACUGACCGAUAGUGAACCAGUACCGUGAGGGAAAGGCGAAAAGAACCCCGGCGAGGGGAGUGAAAAAGAACCUGAAACCGUGUACGUACAAGCAGUGGGAGCACCUUCGGGUGUGACUGCGUACCUUUUGUAUAAUGGGUCAGCGACUUAUAUUCUGUAGCAAGGUUAACCGUAUAGGGGAGCCGCAGGGAAACCGAGUCUUAACUGGGCGUUAAGUUGCAGGGUAUAGACCCGAAACCCGGUGAUCUAGCCAUGGGCAGGUUGAAGGUUGGGUAACACUAACUGGAGGACCGAACCGACUAAUGUUGAAAAAUUAGCGGAUGACUUGUGGCUGGGGGUGAAAGGCCAAUCAAACCGGGAGAUAGCUGGUUCUCCCCGAAAGCUAUUUAGGUAGCGCCUCGUGAAUUCAUCUUCGGGGGUAGAGCACUGUUUCGGCUAGGGGGUCAUCCCGACUUACCAACCCGAUGCAAACUACGAAUACCGAAGAAUGUUAUCACGGGAGACACACGGCGGGUGCUAACGUCCGUCGUGAAGAGGGAAACAACCCAGACCGCCAGCUAAGGUCCCAAAGUCAUGGUUAAGUGGGAAACGAUGUGGGAAGGCACAGACAGCCAGGAUGUUGGCUUAGAAGCAGCCAUCAUUUAAAGAAAGCGUAAUAGCUCACUGGUCGAGUCGGCCUGCGCGGAAGAUGUAACGGGGCUAAACCAUGCACCGAAGCUGCGGCAGCGACACUAUGUGUUGUUGGGUAGGGGAGCGUUCUGUAAGCCUGCGAAGGUGUGCUGUGAGGCAUGCUGGAGGUAUCAGAAGUGCGAAUGCUGACAUAAGUAACGAUAAAGCGGGUGAAAAGCCCGCUCGCCGGAAGACCAAGGGUUCCUGUCCAACGUUAAUCGGGGCAGGGUGAGUCGACCCCUAAGGCGAGGCCGAAAGGCGUAGUCGAUGGGAAACAGGUUAAUAUUCCUGUACUUGGUGUUACUGCGAAGGGGGGACGGAGAAGGCUAUGUUAGCCGGGCGACGGUUGUCCCGGUUUAAGCAUGUAGGCUGGUUGUCCAGGCAAAUCCGGAUAAUCAAGGCUGAGGUGUGAUGACGAGGCACUACGGUGCUGAAGUAACAAAUGCCCUGCUUCCAGGAAAAGCCUCUAAGCAUCAGGUAACAUUAAAUCGUACCCCAAACCGACACAGGUGGUCAGGUAGAGAAUACCAAGGCGCUUGAGAGAACUCGGGUGAAGGAACUAGGCAAAAUGGUGCCGUAACUUCGGGAGAAGGCACGCUGGUGUGUAGGUGAAGUCCCUGCGGAUGGAGCUGAGACCAGUCGAAGAUACCAGCUGGCUGCAACUGUUUAUUAAAAACACAGCACUGUGCAAACACGAAAGUGGACGUAUACGGUGUGACGCCUGCCCGGUGCCGGAAGGUUAAUUGAUGGGGUUAUCCGUAAGGAGAAGCUCUUGAUCGAAGCCCCGGUAAACGGCGGCCGUAACUAUAACGGUCCUAAGGUAGCGAAAUUCCUUGUCGGGUAAGUUCCGACCUGCACGAAUGGCGUAAUGAUGGCCAGGCUGUCUCCACCCGAGACUCAGUGAAAUUGAACUCGCUGUGAAGAUGCAGUGUACCCGCGGCAAGACGGAAAGACCCCGUGAACCUUUACUAUAGCUUGACACUGAACAUUGAGCCUUGAUGUGUAGGAUAGGUGGGAGGCUUUGAAGCGUGGACGCCAGUCUGCGUGGAGCCAACCUUGAAAUACCACCCUUUAAUGUUUGAUGUUCUAACGUUGGCCCCUUACCGGGGUUGCGGACAGUGUCUGGUGGGUAGUUUGACUGGGGCGGUCUCCUCCCAAAGCGUAACGGAGGAGCACGAAGGUUAGCUAAUCCUGGUCGGACAUCAGGAGGUUAGUGCAAUGGCAUAAGCUAGCUUGACUGCGAGCGUGACGGCGCGAGCAGGUGCGAAAGCAGGUCAUAGUGAUCCGGUGGUUCUGAAUGGAAGGGCCAUCGCUCAACGGAUAAAAGGUACUCCGGGGAUAACAGGCUGAUACCGCCCAAGAGUUCAUAUCGACGGCGGUGUUUGGCACCUCGAUGUCGGCUCAUCACAUCCUGGGGCUGAAGUAGGUCCCAAGGGUAUGGCUGUUCGCCAUUUAAAGUGGUACGCGAGCUGGGUUUAGAACGUCGUGAGACAGUUCGGUCCCUAUCUGCCGUGGGCGCUGGAGAAUUGAGGGGGGCUGCUCCUAGUACGAGAGGACCGGAGUGGACGCAUCACUGGUGUUCGGGUUGUCAUGCCAAUGGCACUGCCCGGUAGCUAAAUGCGGAAGAGAUAAGUGCUGAAAGCAUCUAAGCACGAAACUUGCCCCGAGAUGAGUUCUCCCUGAGACUUUAAGUCUCCUGAAGGAACGUUAAAGACGAUGACGUUGAUAGGCCGGGUGUGUAAGCGCAGCGAUGCGUUGAGCUAACCGGUACUAAUGAACCGUGAGGCUUAACCUU
rnacentral:rRNA from 1 species